UUACAAUAAAUAACAUUCCACAUUCUUGUUUCAUCAGCAGCUUCGAAUCUUACCAACUGAUAUAUUCGAAUUUCAAGAUGGCUUUUAUUCGAAUUGUUUCAGCUCAACAUUUCCUUUUACCUCUGACAUCCAUCUCGUUAAUUAGCAUUUUCCUUCAUGCACGUUGCAACAGUAACCGCGUACGCCGUAAUAUACCUAACUAUCGGCCGAUCAAUGAAGCGGCAAGAAGCAUUUUGGGACAACAAUGACGCAAAGGAAACGAUCAACGUGGGUUAGGCCGCAACAUCGCGUGACAACGGUGCAACGGUAGAUCCGGAAACAAGUAGAACAAGUAGAAGAAGGUGUGGCAGACUGUGUACAAUCUAUGAGACAAAAUGAAAACUAAAAGAAAAAAAGAACCGAUCGGCCAGAAAAAAAGCUCGAAGAAGAUAUGCGAAAAAACAAUCGAUACGGUGCUCAGAUCCGAUGGAUGGAAUCCAAUGAUGACGACGAUGAUAACUUCGUGCGUGAACGUGACGCGAGAAAACAUGAAGAAACGUGAAGUGGAAAUGAGAAGACGAAGCUGUGCACAGCGUUACGAGCAACCAAUCGAUAAAUAUUUAAGAUGACGAUGACAACGAAAAAAGGAAACGAAAGAAACACAAGUGCGAACGUGAGGAACAAAAUUCUAGAAGAGAAUGUUUCAGUGUGUUAACGCAGUUAACACGACCGUUCAACAAAUCAAACUAUGGCUAUGCUUGACAACGACGAACGAGUGCAUCGAACCUGGGUGCAGAGGACUCGUAGCUCGCGAGAUGAGUCAAAGAAAAUACGAAAUUAUUGCGAAGAUGCUGAUAUAGUGAUAAACGAGGAUAAAAUCAAGUACGUAUGUGUCUGUAUGAGUUGAUUCGAUGGUUGAUUACACGUAAUCACGCUGAACGAUUCUUGAAUCUUAUAAUGUGUUCUACGAGAUAAGAUUCUAAACACUGAAUAAGAUUAUAUUAUAUUUAGAAGGGAAAACGUGCUCGAAAAAUAGAAGAGUGCUUGUAGAAAACACUUGACAAGUGCCAAGAAACAAAUUUUUCAGGAGGAAAAGGAAACCGAUGCAUUGAUGUAAUUCAAAUUCAGGAAAAAGAGAAGCAUAUCUGUAGAAAAGUCUGUACGUGCCAUUUUUUAUUUGUAAAGAAAACUCGGUGUUUAAUUCAUUCAGAUAGGUGGCACAGACAAAAGCCAAGCAACAAUUAAUUAAAGUUUAUUGGUACUUAUAUUUUUUUCUGUAGAGGUGACGUUGUGACACCAUCUUCUAGCACUUAGGUCAAUAGCCAUUUAGGAAGAUUAAAAUAGCACAUAAAUUCUAUACUACAGUAUUAUUUCUAUUAAUUUAAUUCUAUAAUACAGUAUCGGUAUGUAAGACAUUCCCCAAUAAAACAUCAAAGUUUUUCAAUUUUCGCACUUACAGUAUCUUCUAUAAGCACUUUUCAAUUAUGUUGUAUGUUCCACUUUAAAGAAGGUAGGACAAUUCGUGAAGAACAUUGUCAAACUAUUAAUGUAUAUAAAAAAUUAAAAAUUUGAAAAAGAAAUAGCAGGUAAAAGUUGAAUGUUCUUUGGCUCGACUUGAGUGUUUUCUGCAAAUGAUUAAUAUAUGAUCUCAUCAAAGAUUGACAUUUGCCAUAUACAACAAUCUACAGAAAUAUCCCAUAAGCUAUAAAAAAGAAAGAAAUAAUAAUGAAACUAUACAACGAAGUUAAGUGAUCAGAUCAAACCUUGACAUCUUCAAGGAACCGAUUUAAUUAAUUAAUCCUUCAUCCUCACUAUAAAAAAGCUUCCCUGAAUAAACUUUGCAAAAGUGCAAAAUUAAUUUCACAAACGUUCAGCGUGUCAACGUAUAACGAGAAAAUAAAAUCGUCGCCGUCGAUGACCAA